ACCCGCACAAGCGGUGGAUGAUGUGGAUUAAUUCGAUGCAACGCGAAAAACCUUACCUACCCUUGACAUGUCAGAAACCUCGGAGAGAUUUGAGGGUGCUCGCAAGAGAAUCUGAACACAGGUGCUGCAUGGCUGUCGUCAGCUCGUGUCGUGAGAUGUUGGGUUAAGUCCCGCAACGAGCGCAACCCUUGUCAUUAGUUGCUACGAAAGGGCACUCUAAUGAGACUGCCGGUGACAAACCGGAGGAAGGUGGGGAUGACGUCAAGUCCUCAUGGCCCUUAUGGGUAGGGCUUCACACGUCAUACAAUGGUACAUACAGAGGGCCGCCAACCCGCGAGGGGGAGCUAAUCCCAGAAAGUGUAUCGUAGUCCGGAUUGGAGUCUGCAACUCGACUCCAUGAAGUUGGAAUCGCUAGUAAUCGCGGAUCAGCAUGUCGCGGUGAAUACGUUCCCGGGUCUUGUACACACCGCCCGUCACACCAUGGGAGCGGGUUUUACCAGAAGUAGGUAGCUUAACCGCAAGGAGGGCGCUUACCACGGUAGGAUUCGUGACUGGGGUGAAGUCGUAACAAGGUAGCCGUAUCGGAAGGUGCGGCUGGAUCACCUCCUUUCUG
rnacentral:rRNA from 1 species